rnacentral:lncRNA from 1 species
UAACAACUAUAUGAUAAUAAACUAUAAAUUAUAAAAUAAUAUAAUAAUUCUGUAUUGUACCAUCUGAAUAAGUUCGGAUAGUAAAAGAGAAAUAAGCGUAUAAGAUAAUUAUGUGUAAUUUUUUGAACUGCGGGAGAUAAUUAUGUGUAAUUUUUUGAACUGCGGGAUGGUAAAAUAAAAAUGAGUUAAACCUUGAAAGGAGGCAAAAUU